rnacentral:misc_RNA from 1 species
AAGGAGCAUCUGGCACCCUGUGUUGUUUUCAACGCAGAGAUUGUCCAGGCGCCGGAUCUGAGACAGUACUUAUCACAUCGGUACGACUGGGUCUCAGCCGGUCAGCUCAUGGGUGGAACAUUGACAUUGGUGCGGAGCCGAACGGCUCGAACUUAGUACGCCUGCUUGCAGGAAGGAACAGUUCGGACCGGGGAGCCUCGCACAUGCACGCUGUUGGGUCCUGAGGGACCGGACCUCAUCGCUGUGUCUUCAAGACGCUGAGAUGAGAACCGAAUCCUCUGGACCUUUUUUGGUCGGCCAUAACUGGGCCGGCGGAAAAGGUACCGCCCGUACUUUGAGAACUACACAGUGGACGCGAGCAUCUUAGAUUCGGACCUUCGGGUUCGGAUCACAAAAGAUGAUCAUAGUACUUUCGAGUACUGAUUAGAUCAUUGGUCAAUCUGCUCACUUCGGUGAGCCGAUCGAUUCAAACUCAUGUGAUUUCAAGUUUCUAAGAGCAAAC